rnacentral:tRNA from 1 species
GCUCGUGUAGCUCAGUGGCUAGAGCUUCGUGCUUAUAGAUGUUUUCCAAAGUGUCAACUUUCUGUGUCCAAGGUUUUUAAAUGCAAACCUUCAGAGCAACGCGACCGUCGUGGGUUCAAUCCCCACCUCGAGCA